AUAUCAUAUUCGCGUGGGCCAAGUUCUGUUCAACAGUUGUACAUGAAGUGAUGGCCGCAAUCAAACGAAUAAAGAACCUGGGUGAUUUUUGGCCUGAUUCAUUGAAAAGCUGCUCUGAAAAAAUCACAGGGGAUGAUAAAUUUAGAUAAGAAUGAUCAACCACCAACAUGCAACACUUACUGGAACUUGAAAAACCUACAAUUCACAAGAACAAGCCAAAGACUAGUAUUACCGUACAAAGUGGUUGAGGGUAUGCUCCCAGCUAUCCAAACCUGACAAAUUAUUGGUACAAUGUAACAAGCAAUCUUUACUAAAAGGAACAUCAAGCCGACAUGCUUUGCAGACUUUGAACAUGAUUAUUUACAAAUUUGGUUAAGGCUAUUGAAACAACAAACUGUGAAAACGAGUAAUUUAAAAACUCAUUCUUCUUCAAAACUGUGAUUCAUUGAAAGAAGACGUAGUGUGAGCCAAGUCAGUUGAGAGCUUUAAAACAGCUCACCAAGGCCGUCAAUAGGAGUCCGCUCUCCCAUCAAGUUCACACCAGAAUUGGGACCUUCGAUGUAACAAUGCAGAUACAUAUAGCAUGAAAACUUUUAUAUAAUGAACAUUUAUAUUUAUAUCUAUUGAUGUUUCAGUACAAGUAUGAUUAUUUGUUUUUGUUGUGAUAUAUGACAUACAUGUAUAGUAUAAACAAUUUUGAGAAAGUGAUAUCUGUAAACAUGCCAGUUCCUUGAAAAUGUUAACAAACUUAUGUGUCAACUUAUUCAUUCAUCUAAAAAGUAUUACAAGCCAAUAUUAUAAUUCAAUAGAUUAAGACUAUAAAAUCAGUUUUGACCUAGUCCUGUUCAAGUUUAUUAAGGUCAAAAUAAGAUAAAACAAAGUUUCAUAAUAUAUAAUAUCAAUGUAGGAGCAAACGGUGAAAAUAAUUUAGAUCCUAGUGCUAUAUGAGAUGGGUGACAUGUAUUUAGAUCCUGGUGCUCUAGAGGGGUGACAUUGAGUUGGAUCUGUUUGCUCAAACUAAAAUUUACAGUGCUUUAAAAAAUAAUAAGUGAUCAUGCUUUAUAAAGUUAUAAACUGUUAGGUACAAUCUGUAUACUUACUUCCUGACAAUUUUAUUUUUACUUCUAAGUAUUUUAAAAUGUAAACUUUGAAGUAGGAAGACAUAAAAUAACUGAUAAGUCUUACUUUGUUCUUUUUUUUUU